rnacentral:tRNA from 1 species
GUCCCUUUCGUCUAGUGGUUAGGACAUCGCUUUUUCAUGGCGAAGACACGGGUUCAAUUCCCGUAGGGGAUGCCA